AAAGGGGCAACCUGGUAUGAGAUGGACUCGCGUCGCAUUAGCUAGUUGGUGAGGUAACGGCCCACCAAGGCGACGAUGCGUAGCCGACCUGAGAGGGUGAUCGGCCACAUUGGGACUGAGAUACGGCCCAGACUCCUACGGGAGGCAGCAGUGGGGAAUAUUGGGCAAUGGAGGAAACUCUGACCCAGCAAUGCCGCGUGAAUGAAGAAGGUCUUCGGAUUGUAAAGUUCUUUAGUCAGGGAAGAAGUCAAUGACGGUACCUGAAGAAUAAGCUCCGGCUAACUACGUGCCAGCAGCCGCGGUAAUACGUAGGGAGCAAGCGUUGUUCGGAAUGACUGGGCGUAAAGGGUGCGUAGGCGGUUGUACAAGUUAGAAGUGAAAUACCCAGGGCUUAACUCGGGUGCUGCUUCUAAAACUGUAUGACUUGAGUGCAGUAGAGGUUAGUGGAAUUCCUAGUGUAGCGGUGGAAUGCGUAGAUAUUAGGAGGAACACCAGAGGCGAAGGCGGCUAACUGGACUGCAACUGACGCUGAGGCACGAAAGUGUGGGGAGCAAACAGGAUUAGAUACCCUGGUAGUCCACACUGUAAACGAUGGAUACUAGAUGUAGGAGGUAUCGACUCC
rnacentral:rRNA from 1 species